GACAGAGGUGCCGAGCGUUAGGCGGAAUCACUGGGCUUAAAGCGUGUGUAGGCGGACCGUUAAGUACCUUGUGAAAUCCCACGGCUCAACCGUGGAACGGCUGGGUAGACUGGCGGUCUUGAGCGGCCUAGGGGCAGAUGGAACAGACGGUGGAGCGGUGAAAUGCGUAGAUAUCGUCUGGAACGCCAAAGGUGAAGACAGUCUGCUGGGGGCCUGCUGACGCUGAGACACGAAAGCCAGGGGAGCGAACGGG
rnacentral:rRNA from 1 species